UACGUAGGGUGCAGCGUUGUCCGGAAUUAUUGGGCGUAAAGAGCUCGUAGGCGGCCUGUCGCGUCGGAUGUGAAAUCCCGCGGCUCAACUGCGGGUCUGCAGUCGAUACGGGCAGGCUAGAGUUCGGUAGGGGAGACUGGAAUUCCUGGUGUAGCGGUGAAAUGCGCAGAUAUCAGGAGGAACACCGAUGGCGAAGGCAGGUCUCUGGGCCGAUACUGACGCUGAGGAGCGAAAGCGUGGGGAGCGAACAGG
rnacentral:rRNA from 1 species